AGAUUUUAUAACGCCUUUCAAUUUCUAGAUAUAAACACUCGAGGUUUUAUACUUGGAUAUAUCAGUCAGUGAUUUUGUUGUUGAAGGAACUAUCACAGCUAUGAAGGUCAGCGCUCUUCUCGUGGUCAUGCUGGUUUUUGCUAUGGUGAUUACUGCACCAGAGGUUGUCAGUGCUAAAGCUGCGGCCAAUGAUGCUGAUGAAGGCAAACCAAAAGACACAGGAAAUAAGAACGGUGAAAAGAAUUCCAAGCAGAAUGACGCCAAAUCUCAAUGGACACUUUCUUCCAAUUGGUGAUACAAAGAUUUAAGAACAGAAUGUUGAAACGGCUGAAGAAUAUGAAAGUCUUACACUGACCUUUUCUGCCACUUUUAUGUUAACAAAAUUUAGCUAAGAAAAUAAACAAUGCAACUCAUAA